GAUGAACGCUGGCGGCGUGCCUAAUACAUGCAAGUCGGGCGAACAGACGAGGAGCUUGCUCCUCUGACGUUAGCGGCGGACGGGUGAGUAACAUGUGGAUAACCUACCUAUAAGACUGGGAUAACUUCGGGAAACCGGAGCUAAUACCGGAUAAUAUAUUGAACCGCAUGGUUCAAUAGUGAAAGACGGUUUUGCUGUCACUUAUAGAUGGAUCCGCGCCGCAUUAGCUAGUUGGUAAGGUAACGGCUUACCAAGGCAACGAUGCGUAGCCGACCUGAGAGGGUGAUCGGCCACACUGGAACUGAGACACGGUCCAGACUCCUACGGGAGGCAGCAGUAGGGAAUCUUCCGCAAUGGGCGAAAGCCUGACGGAGCAACGCCGCGUGAGUGAUGAAGGUCUUCGGAUCGUAAAACUCUGUUAUUAGGGAAGAACAAAUGUGUAAGUAACUAUGCACGUCUUGACGGUACCUAAUCAGAAAGCCACGGCUAACUACGUG
rnacentral:rRNA from 1 species